GAAACGGCAGCUAAGACCGCAUAGGUAGGGACACUGCAUGGUGACCGUAUUAAAAGUGCUGCAAGGCACUGGUAGAGGAUGGACUUAUGGCGCAUUAGCUGGUUGGUGAGGUAACGGCUCACCAAGGCGACGAUGCGUAGCCGACCUGAGAGGGUGACCGGCCACACUGGGACUGAGACACGGCCCAGACUCCUACGGGAGGCAGCAGUAGGGAAUUUUCGGCAAUGGGGGGAACCCUGACCGAGCAACGCCGCGUGAAGGAAGAAGGAAUUCGUUCUGUAAACUUCUGUUAUAAAGGAAGAAAGACGGAUGGAGGAAAUGACAUCCGAGUGACGGUACUUUAUGAGAAAGCCACGGCUAACUACGUGCCAGCAGCCGCGGUAAUACGUAGGUGGCAAGCGUUAUCCGGAAUUAUUGGGCGUAAAGAGGGAGCAGGCGGCAGCAAAGGUCUGUGGUGAAAGACUGAAGCUUAACUUCAGUAAGCCAUAGAAACCGGGCAGCUAGAGUGCAGGAGAGGAUCGUGGAAUUCCAUGUGUAGCGGUGAAAUGCGUAGAUAUAUGGAGGAACACCAGUGGCGAAGGCGACGAUCUGGCCUGCAACUGACGCUCAGUCCCGAAAGCGUGGGGAGCAAAUAGGAUUAGAUACCCUAGUAGUCC
rnacentral:rRNA from 1 species